GGCCAGACUCCUACGGGAGGCAGCAGUGGGGAAUAUUGGGCAAUGGAGGAAACUCUGACCCAGCAAUGCCGCGUGAAUGAAGAAGGUCUUCGGAUUGUAAAGUUCUUUAGUCAGGGAAGAAGUCAAUGACGGUACCUGAAGAAUAAGCUCCGGCUAACUACGUGCCAGCAGCCGCGGUAAUACGGAGGAUGCGAGCGUUAUCCGGAUUUAUUGGGUUUAAAGGGUGCGUAGGCGGGAUGCCAAGUCAGCGGUAAAAAUGCGGUGCUCAACGCCGUCGAGCCGUUGAAACUGGCGUUCUUGAGUGGGCGAGAAGUAUGCGGAAUGCGUGGUGUAGCGGUGAAAUGCAUAGAUAUCACGCAGAACUCCGAUUGCGAAGGCAGCAUACCAGCGCCCUACUGACGCUGAGGCACGAAAGCGUGGGUAUCGAACAGGAUUAGAUACCCGCGUA
rnacentral:rRNA from 1 species